GACAACCAGUGGACGGAUGCUGGAGACGUUAGCCCUCUUCAAUGACAACCGCUACCAUCAUCAAACAGUUAGAAAAGCCUUUCAUCAUUUUUUGUCACUGACAGACUUCGACUUUGACUUCUCAUGUUAUCAGUGUGGACACCACCCAUCUGUGAUAAUAGCUGACGCCAACUGGAAACUGGCCUUUGAUAUACCACUUGGGACCUUUUAAAAGACCGGAUCCAGAUACCAUAUCUGACGAAGAUCUUUAAAUUGACAUAGUUAAGGCAUGGUCAGAUUUAGACAAAUCUGUUGUAGCAGAAGGCCUCAUAUCAGACCUUCUCCUGUCGGCUGGUUUUGAUGAAGA